GUGCCCAUGAGCGCUGACAAUGAAAACUACAGCUCCUAUAAAGUGCUGAUCCAAUUGUGAAAAGGUGGCCUUUUCCAGCAGCCUGGCACACUCCAGCAUUAUCCCAGCUUAUAAAUAAACGGAUGGGCUGAGCCACUUCGGCUGGGCUUUUUUUUUUUCCUCUUAGUCCUUACCAAGAUAAUUGAGGAUCAUAAUGGUGGGAAAGGACUGCAGUCAUCAUUCGCUGCCUGUCAGGUCACAGGCCUUUCCAGUGCAGAUACUGCCCAUACAGUGCCUCUCAGAAGGGAAAUCUGAAGACCCAUGUUCUCUGUGUCCAUCGCAUGCCUUUUGACAACAGCCAGUAUCCUGACCGCAGGUUCAAGCGCUCCAGAAUUGACUCCGAAGCUUCUGGGAAUUUGGAGGAACUUGCAGCUGUCAAGCCGGGGAGCUCAGCAGAGCUAAAGGAGGAGGGCAGCAAGGUCCAGGAGUGAUGCAGCUCGGUGGGUCCAUCUCCACACUGCAGUAACCUUUUAUACUGAGUUUAGGUCUGCAUUUGGGUGAGGGUUGGCUAACUGCCUCCCAUGCAAAUGAGCAGCGUGCAAAUUCCCAGAAGUGUACAGGAUGCUGAAAACAGUCAAAUAUAUGUAUAUAUAUGUACACACACAGGUGGGUGCAUAUAUGUAUAUUUACACACACAGAUAUCCAGUCAUACACUCUUUGAAUAUACGUCUACAUGCACACACACACAAAUACAUACAUUCCAUAUGUGUGUGUGUUUGAAUAUAUGUAUUACACAUGCAAAAUAAAUUUCCAGCCCUUGAAAAUGGCUGCUAAACAGUUACCUGGCAACAAGUACUUCCAAACAAUGUAGGUGGGAUAAUAAAGUGAUUUAAAAAUGUUAGGAGGUCGUUAGUUAUUGAAAAAGCAGGGCAAUUUCAGACUUUGAAGAGGUCUUUGACCAAAAAUAAUGCUCUUAACAGAAAAACAAUACCGUCUCAACAAUUUAGUGUUGCCUUGAAGAUUGAGGGGCUGCGUUUUCAUUGUUGAAAACACCUUUAUAAUAUGACACCAGCUGCUGUCAUUUGCCUAGCAUAGUAAUGAGAUGUCUUGGUAGACUGCCAUGGUGCCAGUCUGACUGGAGCUGUCAUUGCAGAAAAAAUCAAUUCAAGUGGUGUUGCAACUGCAGUGUAGGAGAAACCUUAGACGGCCCAUAAACUAGGGUCAGUACUGACCUAUAUUUAAAAGUAUUGUGAUAUUACAUUUUCUUUUUUUUUUUUUUUU